UACGGAGGGUGCGAGCGUUGUCCGGAAUUACUGGGCGUAAAGAGCUCGUAGGUGGUUUGUCGCGUUGUUCGUGAAAACCGGGGGCUUAACCCUCGGCGUGCGGGCGAUACGGGCAGACUUGAGUACUGCAGGGGAGACUGGAAUUCCUGGUGUAGCGGUGGAAUGCGCAGAUAUCAGGAGGAACACCGGUGGCGAAGGCGGGUCUCUGGGCAGUAACUGACGCUGAGGAGCGAAAGCGUGGGGAGCAAACAGG
rnacentral:rRNA from 1 species